AACCACAGGUAGCAGGGCUCCUCUGGAGGACUGAGAACUCUCUCACCUGUCAUUCACACACAGUGCAGCUCGAUGUCUCGCCUUGUCUAAGACAAAUGUCUCCCAUGGGAGACAAAUAAAGUGAACUUUGAUGUCAAAAUGACUGGGAGGAUAACAGACUCAGAAAGAGACAUUCAGAACGUACAGAGUGCCCCUGUAUGUUACUAGCACCACUCCAAAGACAUCACUGACUGAGAUGUAUGUUUCUGUGAUGAACAGAUCAAUAGAUACACUGGUGGACACCGAUGAACAACAAGAAGUCACUGCUAGGUUGGAGCGAUACAGAUAAAUCACUGCCUUAAUGUGUUUACAAAAAACAACACCUGGACUAGAUCAAAACAGAACAACACAUGAAGACAGACAGAAAGCAAGACCUGGAUGAGCGUGUGGGUUUGUCAGGACUGUCCGUGGAAUGUGUAAAUUACCUAGUGGAACCCAGCCAGCCAGGCAGACUCCAUUUUAGCUCCUCUGCCCCAGGAGCUCCCUGACUAAAGUCUGCCCAUCCCCCAGGAGGACAACCACCCUGCUCUGAAUGACACUUCUGGAAAGAGCUACCAAACUAAAACCACCAGGAUUAAACAGCCUCCUCUCACUGCAACACCAGAAGAGCGUCUGACAUUAAAUAAAACCUGAAGCAGCUCUCCUUCCUGUGGUUCUGCUGCAGUGACUCAGCUCAAACAGCUCAGAGGAGGAGCUCAUCUGCUCACCUUUCAGGGAAGUCUCCACCAGCCGCAGGUACUGUUUGGACCGUUUGUUUCCGUGACUCAUCUUCUGGGCCAUCCCGUUCCUCUGCAGCACACACUCCUCCAGCUGCACCACGUUCUCAUGCCUCUUCUCCAGACUCGCCAGCGCCCAGAACUCCUGCAGGGCGAGCUCCACGUUUUCCGGUGCGUCGCAUCGCAGCUUCUUCACGGCCACCGUAGCCCCGGACCUGCGGGCCACGGCCUCGUACACCACCCCGUACGUACCCCGGCCCACCUCCCGCAGCAGGCUGUAGCGGGGCGCCCUGGGCUUCUGCUUGAACAGCCCGGUGUUCUCCUCCAUGUCAUGGUCUCCUUCCGUGUUCCCCACGUUCAGACACCGCAGCACGCCCGACUCGUCCGCUCGUGCACCGGGGCAGGCUUGCGCGCUCCUCGUGCGUCUCCGCCAGUCAUCGCCGUCGCCGCCAGCUGUAUCCAUACGGCCCCGUGAACGUUUCCCCGGUUACACGUUCAGCAGCAACGGUGACAUGUCGUCCACCGGAGGCGUCCUCGCCAUUCCUCACUCUCAUUUAGUGAAAGGAGCAGCGGGACGAGGUAAACACGAGACAAGACUGCUGCUGCAACGUCAGAGUAUCCGCUCUGCACCUUCACAAUAAAAGCCUGGAAGUUCCUUUUAAAUCAAUACGCUUUACGUAUACAACAUACAAGGACUGUUGUUGUUACCCUAGGAGUAAGGAAAGAGAAUAAUAAUAAAAAGAAACGAAAGAAGGAAGAAAAGGGAAAAAAUAGCAGUAAUAAAAAUAAAUAGAACACAAUAUAUACAGAUAUUUACAAGCUAGAAAGGAACAUAUAAACACAGUGGUGCAAAAUGAUAUUUGCUAGAUGAUAAUACAGUGCAAAAAGCAGAGAAUGCUGUUCAUAGUGCAAAAAGUAAUGUACAUAUCCAUUGGAAUACUGUAUACUGUACAGGUGUGGAGGAAUGGCUCAAGGCUGCCAUCUGCAGCUCCACCUAUUAACAAAUUAAUAAAUAAACAUGAAUGGGACUGAUUAAUGAAACAUCUGUUUCAUAGAGAGGGUCAUUGGAGUUUCCCUCACCUCUGUUCAGAACGUUUCCAGUUCCGCUGCAGGAGCAGAGCUCUGAACAUUGUCAGGGACUCCUCACACCUUCUCCACAAACUGUUUGAACUGCUACCAUCAGGCAGGCAUCUCAGGAGCAUCAGAGGAAAAACCACCAGACUGAUGAACAGCUUCAUACCACAGGUGGUCAGAUUACCAAACUGCUGACCUGGUCUUUAGAUACUGGAGAAACGCUAUCUCAUCGAAUAAGAUGACAAUAAAGAUUCAUUUGACCUGA